GACGAACGCUGGCGGCGUGCUUAACACAUGCAAGUCGAACGGAAAGGCCUGCUUUCCCUUGUGGAUUGCGGGUACUCGAGUGGCGAACGGGUGAGUAACACGUGAGUGAUCUGCCCCCAACUUGGGUAUAAGCCUGGGAAACUGGGUCUAAUUCCCGAUAGGACUGCAGGGUGGUGCCUGUGGUGGAAAACGAUUUUCUAGUGGUUGGGGAUGAGCUCGCGGCCUAUCAGCUUGUUGGUGGGGUAAUGGCCUACCAAGGCGGCGACGGGUAGCCGGCCGGGGAGGGUGGACGGCGACAUUGGGACUGGGAUACGGCCCAGACUCCUACGGGAGGCAGCAGUGGGGAAUAUUGCACAAUGGGCGGAAGCCUGAUGCAGCGACGCCGCGUGGGGGAUGACGGCCUUCGGGUUGUAAACUCCUUGCGACCGCGAGGAAGCCACCUGGUUGGAAGGGUGGUGACGGUAGUGGUAGAAGAAGCACCGGCUAACUACGUG
rnacentral:rRNA from 1 species